rnacentral:misc_RNA from 1 species
GCAAACUUGGUCAUUUAGAGGAAGUAAAAGUCGUAACAAGGUCUCCGUAGGUGAACCUGCGGAGGGAUCAUUACCGAGUUCGUGCCCCGCAGCGGGGUAGAUCUCCCACCCUUGUGUAUCUUCGUACCGUUCUGUUGCUUUGGCAGGCCGCUCAGGCUUCGGCUCGACCACCGGCUCCCCCAGGGGGGCGGGUGUGCGCCUGCCAGAGGACCCCCCAACUCUUGUUUGUCAGUGUCGUCUGAGUACUAUAACCAAUCGUUAAAACUUUCAACAACGGAUCUCUUGGUUCUGGCAUCGAUGAAGAACGCAGC